rnacentral:lncRNA from 1 species
AUAGAUUCUGUUAGAAAUAAGUCAGUUGAAUUUGAAAGACUGACUCAAGACACAGCUCAAGCAAUCUCCUAAACUACUAAGGCCAUCUCUUAUCUACAAGAAGAGACUAAUUCUUUAACAAAAUCAGUUUUGCAAAAUCAAUUGGCCCUUGACACACUCACAGCUACAAUGGGAUAUAAAUGCUUCUUUAUUAGUCAAUCUUCUUGUUCUUAUGUAAAUAAAUCUGAAGAAUGUUUGGCAAAUAUCCAUGAGAUUCAAAUGCUUUUAAAUGGCAUCCAGCAAGUGGCCUUAGAGACUCAUGUGAAUCCUAAUGAUAGCUACUGGAACCUCUCAUGGAUGCAGAUGACCAUCACUGCAGUUUCCAAAUCUUUGCCACCACAGAAGAGCAACUUGAUUCAAAUGAAUAUGCUAAGGAUCAGAGAAGCAAAUUAUGGCUAAUUACCUGAAGUCGCACAGCUAGUGAAUAGCAGAGCUGAGAAUUCACCUUGAUCUUUCAACUUCAAGAUUGGGACACUCCUGCUGCUCUAAACCAUGUUUCUUAAAGGAGGUAUGUUUUAUAUCUUUAAUAUUAUAAAAGAAGUUCUAAUGGAUGUCAAAAGAAGUGAUAAAUUAGUUUAAAGGGUGUUGCAGGCUACAGAUUCAGUACUUGGGACUUUCAAAAAAAGAUACAUUGUCAGUAUGGCCAGCUAAUAAUGAAGUUCUGCUCUUCUUCCCUCAGUGCCCAGAUUAGUCCCAAAACAUGGUUCAGUGAAUAUCAGCACAAGUUUUCUCUUCCCAGGGAAUUAACUCUUGGAGGAGAUAGGUUGAAUCCAAAUGUAAGAAAACUUAGGAAGUAAGGGGAAUAUAAAGAAGUUUUGAAAAUAAAACAGCUAGAAAACAGUGGGUAAGUUGAUAG